rnacentral:misc_RNA from 1 species
UUUCAAUAUAGUAAAAUUUAAUAUCAAAUCAGCAUUAGCUUAUGAACACAAAACUGUCAAAUACUAGUCAAGAAAGCCGAAGUACCAAAGCCAAAGGAAUACCAACUUAUGGCUGAAAGGACACUAAUCAACCAAUGGGCUAUUCCAUCAAAUUUGCAAUAUCUUAGCAGGUAUGUAUCUCUUCUCAGUCUUAAAUGAACUCCACUUGUACUUACCAAGGUAGACUCUAGAAGAAUUUUCAAGAAAUGCAAGCAUGCAAUCACAUGUGACAGAUUGAGG